GAUGGCCACAAGAGACAUCCUGUGAGCUUGACCCUGACCGUGURUCAGAUGGCUUCAGUGGAACGCCAGAAAAUUUCUGCAACCAUGUCAAGAAUGAAAUAUUAUUUCAUACUGUGUGCUGCUGUGAAUKGAGUCGGCUACUGUCUAUCUUUGAGAAACUCCACCAUCAAAAGAUUAGAUGCUAUAUGUGAAAACACAAAAACCCACUGACUUCGUGUCUCAAUGUCUCCAUUAAUUUUACAAUAGAGGUGACAUGAAGACACAAAAACAAUGGAAAAUCCCUAGAACUUUGAAUCAUGACAGAAUGGUAAGUAUACAUAGGUUCUGCAUAGGAUAAACCACUUUAGUAACCAUUUGUAAAAUUUUCUUUCAUUUCUUUGUUUCAUUCUGUAAAAUCUGAAGGUGUUUAAGCAUGGUCCUACACCCUGAAAAAAAUCUAUCCCAAUUAUCUCUGACAUUGCUGGGAUUAAUAUGAAGGUGGCAGGAUUAAUGAUAUCAAACCAUCUCCUGUUUUGUAUGAACAGUGAUAAACUCCUCAAUACAACUGGAGCACAACCUUUAUUAGACAUGAUCUGACCGGACUUGUUCCUCUAUUGUAACUCAAGAUUAAAGCACUUCUUGGCACAUUUUUUUAACUAAUCCUCUCUCUGGCUGACUCAUAACAGCUGUUAAAUAACUAGAUAUUUAGCUAAAGAUGAACUGAACCUAUAAAUUUAAAAGUGAUAUAAUA